GCAAGUACAACUCGUAGACACUUCAUAAAUGUCGGCCAAAGAUAUUAAAUGGGUGUUUCAAUCGAUAUGGAUAGGUUAUUAUUCUAAGUGCGCGGCAGUUUGAUUGAUGGUCCAUGAGAAGAUGGAGAAAGACCUACUCCGAAUCGGAAGACAUGAGCCCAUAAAACGUUUUCGGCAAAAUGCUCAUCAAGUAGCCAUACAAUAAAUAAUAGAACAGUCAGAAACAUUUGAUGGAGAACCAUAAAAGUGCAGCUCACCAAAAAGAAUCCGCAGACUACAGCAGCUCAUUCAAAUUGUAGCCAUGUACACAUAAAGAGCAGACAAAAGACAUAAAGUAAAUGAAGCGCCUCACGAAAUGCGGACUUCAGAUGAGUUGUGGCAACUCCCAUACGAUGUGACGAGUAUUUCCAUUCUAUUUCCAUUUUCACGUUCUCGUAACUCAGUUGCCAUUCAUGGACGAAGAUAGAGCCGCAGUCGAAAUCGAAAUCAAUUGUUACACACAAUGAAAACAUCUCCCCAACACGAUAAAUGCUUGCCACAAACACUGGGAUAUUUGCAGCAUUGUUCAUUUCAAAUGGAAUCUAUGUUCCGAAUUUGUUGAAUAAAUUAAGGGAAAUACAAAAUAAAAUUUAAAUUUAACAUAUACAUA